rnacentral:rRNA from 1 species
AUUGAACGCUGGCGGCAUGCCUUACACAUGCAAGUCGAACGGCAGCACGGGAGCAAUCCUGGUGGCGAGUGGCGAACGGGUGAGUAAAGUAUCGGAACGCGCCCAGUCGUGGGGGAUAACGUAGCGAAAGUUACGCUAAUACCGCAUACGAUCUAUGGAUGAAAGCGGGGGAUCGCAAGACCUCGCGCGAUCGGAGCGGCCGAUAUCAGAUUAGGUAGUCGGUGGGGUAAAGGCUCACCAAGCCGACGAUCUGUAGCUGGUCUGAGAGGACGACCAGCCACACUGGGACUGAGACACGGCGCAGACUCCUACGGGAGGCAGCAGUGGGGAAUUUUGGACAAUGGGCGAAAGCCUGAUCCAGCCAUGCCGCGUGCAGGAUGAAGGCCUUCGGGUUGUAAACUGCUUUUGUACGGAACGAAAAGGUUUGGGCUAAUAAGCUGAGCUCAUGACGGUACCGUAAGAAUAAGCACCGGCUAACUACGUGCCAGCCGCCGCAGUAA